AUUGAACGCUGGCGGCAGGCCUAACACAUGCAAGUCGAGCGAGCGGCGGACGGGUGAGUAAUGGAUGGGGACUGCCCGAUAGAGGGGGAUAACUACUGGAAACGGUGGCUAAUAACGCAUACUAGAGGAUAACCCAAAUGGUAUUAGCUAGUAGGUGGGGUAAAGGCUCACCUAGGCGACGAUCUCUAGCUGGUCUGAGAGGAUGAACGGCCACCCUGGGACUGAGACACGGCCCAGUCUCCUACGGAGGCAGCAGUGGGGAAUAUUGCACAAUGGGCGCACGCCUUAUGCAGCCAUGCCGCGUGUAUGAAGAAGGCCUUAGGGUUGUAAAGUACUUUCAGCGGGGAGGCGUUACCCGCAGAAGAAGCACCGGCUAACUCCGUGCCAGCAGCCGCGGUAAUAC
rnacentral:rRNA from 1 species